rnacentral:rRNA from 1 species
CUCACCACGAGAUGAGUCCGCGUCCCAUCAGCUAGUUGGCGGUGUAAUAGACCACCAAGGCUUAGACGGGUAGCUGGUCUGAGAGGAUGACCAGCCACACUGGGACUGAGACACGGCCCAGACUCCUACGGGAGGCAGCAGUGGGGAAUAUUGGACAAUGGGCGAAAGCCUGAUCCAGCCAUGCCGCGUGAGUGAUGAAGGCCUUCGGGUCGUAAAAGCUCUGUGGGGAGGGACGAAAAAGCGUGACCUAAUACGUCUCGCCUUGACGGUACCUCCUUAGCAAGCACCGGCUAACUCCGUGCCAGCAGCCGCGGUAAUACGGAGGGUGCAAACGUUUGCUCGGAAUUAUUGGGCGUAAAGCGCACGUAGGCGGUCCGCUAAGUCGGAUGUGAAAGCCCUCGGCUUAACCGAGGAAGUGCAUCCGAAACUGACGGGCUAGAGUACGGAAGAGGGUUUCGGAAUUCCCGGUGUAGAGGUGAAAUUCGUAGAUAUCGGGAGGAACACCAGUG